UACGGAGGGUGCGAGCGUUGUCCGGAAUCAUUGGGCGUAAAGGGCGCGUAGGUGGCCACUUCAAGCGUGCGGUGGAAGUCGGGGGCUCAACCCCUGAUCGGCCGUGCGAACUGGGGGGCUGGAGCACUGUAGAGGCAGGCGGAAUUCCGGGUGUAGCGGUGGAAUGCGUAGAGAUCCGGAAGAACACCGGUGGCGAAGGCGGCCUGCUGGGCAGUUUUGCUGACACUGAGGCGCGACAGCGUGGGGAGCAAACAGG
rnacentral:rRNA from 1 species